rnacentral:rRNA from 1 species
AUCUUGACCUCAGAUCAGGCAAGGCUACCCGCUGAAUUUAAGCAUAUUAAUAAGCGGAGGAAAAGAAACUAACAAGGAUUCCCUCAGUAACAGCGAGUGAAGCGGGAACAGCUCAAAUUUGAAAUCUCCGACCUUUGGGUCGGCGAGUUGUAGUUGCGAGAAGCACUUUCUAGGUGGACCGGUGGUGCYUAAGUUGCUUGGAACAGUACGUCAUAGAGGGUGACAACCCCGU